rnacentral:rRNA from 1 species
UCAUAUGCUUGUCUCAAAGAUUAAGCCAUGCAUGUCUAAGUAUAAGCAAUUAUACAGCGAAACUGCGAAUGGCUCAUUAUAUAAGUUAUCGUUUAUUUGAUAGUACCUUACUACUUGGAUAACCGUGGUAAUUCUAGAGCUAAUACAUGCUUCAAAUCCCGACUUCGGAAGGGAUGUAUUUAUUAGAUUAAAAACCAAUGCCCUCUGGGCUCCUUGGUGAUUCAUAAUAACUUUUCGAAUCGCAUGGCCUUGCGCCGGCGAUGGUUCAUUCAAAUUUCUUCCCUAUCAACUUUCGAUGUUUGGGUAUUGGCCAAACAUGGUUACAACGGGUAACGGAGGGUUAGGGCUCGACCCCGGAGAAGGAGCCUGAGAAACGGCUACUACAUCCAAGGAAGGCAGCAGGCGCGCAAAUUACCCAAUCCCGAUUCGGGGAGGUAGUGACAAUAAAUACUGAUACAGGGCUCUUUUGGGUCUUGUAAUUGGAAUGAGUACAAUUUAAAUCCCUUAACGAGGAACAAUUGGAGGGCAAGUCUGGUGCCAGCAGCCGCGGUAAUCC